rnacentral:misc_RNA from 1 species
GAAAUGCGAUAAGUAAUGUGAAUUGCAGAAUUCAGUGAAUCAUCGAAUCUUUGAACGCACAUUGCGCCCUUUGGUAUUCCGAAGGGCAUGCCUGUUCGAGCGUCAUUUAAACUCUCAAGCUUUGCUUGGUAUUGAGUAAGAUUUUUUUAAGAUCUACUCGAAACUUGUUGGACUUUUUUCAGUUACUUCAAGCGUAGCAAAAAAUAUUCGUUUAGUUGUUAACUGUCAUAAAAGUCUUUAAAAUAUCUUCAAGUUUGACCUCGGAUCAGGUAGGGAUACCCGCUGAACUUAA